AAUGAAGUGUCUGAAAAAGAAUUAUUUUGAUAGAAUAAAGCAUGUAAAAUUAUCUUACCUUCAUUA
rnacentral:tRNA from 1 species